rnacentral:rRNA from 1 species
CAGUCGCCGCGGUAAUACGGAGGGUGCAAGCGUUAAUCGGAAUUACUGGGCGUAAAGCGCACGCAGGCGGUCUGUCAAGUCGGAUGUGAAAUCCCCGGGCUCAACCUGGGAACUGCAUUCGAAACUGGCAGGCUAGAGUCUUGUAGAGGGGGGUAGAAUUCCAGGUGUAGCGGUGAAAUGCGUAGAUAUAGGAAGGAACACCAGUGGCGAAGGCGACCACCUGGACUGAUACUGACACUGAGGUGCGAAAGCGUGGGGAGCAAACAGGAUUAGAUACCCCUGUAGUCCCUGUCUCUUAUAC